rnacentral:guide_RNA from 1 species
AAAACUAAAUCAUAUAGAUCGAAAAAUGAUAGACUGUGUAAAUU